rnacentral:rRNA from 1 species
GAUGAACGCUGGCGGCGUGCCUAAUACAUGCCAGUCGAGCGAACAGAUGAGGAGCUUGCUCCUCUGACGUUAGCGGCGGACGGGUGAGUAACACGUGGAUAACCUACCUAUAAGACUGGGAUAACUGCGGGAAACCGGAGCUAAUACCGGAUAAUAUAUUGAACCGCAUGGUUCAAUAGUGAAAGACGGUUUUGCUGUCACUUAUAGAUGGAUCCGCGCCGCAUUAGCUAGUUGGUAAGGUAACGGCUUACCAAGGAAACGAUGCGUAGCCGACCUGAGAGGGUGAUCGGCCACACUGGAUCUGAGACACGGUCCAGACUCCUACGGGAGGCAGCAGUAGGGAAUCUUCCGCAAUGGGCGAAAGCCUGACGGAGCAACGCCGCGUGAGUUAUGAAGUUCUUCGGAUCGUAAAACUCUGUUAUUAGGGAAGAACAAAUGUGUAAGUAACUAUGCACGUCUUGACGGUACCUAAUCAGAAAGCCACGGCUAACUACGUG